AUUGAACGCUGGCGGCAGGCCUAACACAUGCAAGUCGAACGGUAACAGGAAGAAGCUUGCUUCUUUGCUGACGAGUGGCGGACGUGUGAGUAAUGUCUGGGAAACUGCCUGAUGGAGGGGGAUAACUACUGGAAACGGUAGCUAAUACCGCAUAACGUCGCAAGACCAAAGAGGGGGACCUUCGGGCCUCUUGCCAUCGGCUGUGCCCAGAUGGGAUUAGCUAGUAGGUGGGGUAACGGCUCACCUAGGCGACGAUCCCUAGCUGGUCUGAGAGGAUGACCAGCCACACUGGAACUGAGACACGGUCCAGACUCCUACGGGAGGCAGCAGUGGGGAAUAUUGCACAAUGGGCGCAAGCCUGAUGCAGCCAUGCCGCGUGUAUGAAGAAGGCCUUCGGGUUGUAAAGUACUUUCAGCGGGGAGGAAGGGAGUAAAGUUAAUACCUUUGCUCAUUGACGUUACCCGCAGAAGAAGCACCGGCUAACUCCGUG
rnacentral:rRNA from 1 species